GCGUCAGAAGUGCAACGGGUUAGAGCACACACUCCUGGGGCAGAGUGAGAUGCGGGUUCGAGUCCCGCCCGAUACC